GAAAGAGACAGAAGUGAGAAAUAAAGGGUUCCUACAUGUAACAGUCAUACAUGUACAUAUCUGUGUGGGUUUGUGAGAAAGAGAGAGAAGGGGGAAUGGGGAUUACCUGGGCAUUCCUUGAAGAGCGAGACUCCAGCUCAUUCCCUGGUGCACCACAAAACAAGACGACAACAACGGGCUGAGUGGACUGCUGGCUGCACGGCUAGUCGAUGAGUUUUUCCAGCACCUUCACUUACAGCAUCCUCAUUUGGGAUUUGGAACGGC